CAACGCGACCCCAGUCAGGCGGCUACCG
rnacentral:rRNA from 1 species